ensembl:snRNA U6 U6 spliceosomal RNA
UUGUUCUUUGCAUAAUAAAAAGUGACAUGCUGGAACCAUACUGAGAAGAUUAGUGUGGCCCUGCACAAGGAUAACACACAAAUUCAUGAAGCUUUCCAUAUUUAC